ensembl:lncRNA
AGCAAAUACAGACUGGUAAAAGUGAAAUAAAAAUUAGCCACUACUUCACUACCCAGAAUCUUGGUUUUUCCAGAGUUGUACUGAUUCUUUAAGUAUGAAGAAAAUGGACACUAUUCAUAACCCUCUGAAGAUAUAAAGGUCGCAAGUGCUAAGGGUUCUCCUAGUGGAGUAUAGACAUGAUGAUUUCUGGGUGGGUUUCUCUGUUGCACAAGGUCUCUUGUUUAAUCAUUUUACACAGUGAAGUGUUAAUCACCAUUUAAGUUUGUCUUUGUCUUGUAACUUCAUUAGUUGAAUACACACCUCACUCUGGAAAUAUGGUGACCCCUUCAAUAAAGUUUUAAUUGGCCUUGAGCCAUACAUUCUUGGCAAACUUUAAUUCUCUGCAAAAAUCUGAAGAAAAGCAAAUACUUACAGGCAGGUAUUUAACUUCAUUCAUUUCUUUAAAAUAAAUGCACCAAGCAUUAUUUUCCCAGAUGAAGGAUUAAAGAGAAAUCUAUUCAGUUAAAAGUGAACAGGUUUCUUGACAAGCUAUGUGGACUUUUAAGUAACUUCUGAAAAAGAAAAUUUCAAUGACUGCAAUAAUUUAAAGGACCAAGGAAAUGAAGGGUCACUGCAAAUAGGUGUAUCAGAAUAUAAAUAUUGAGUAAGCAAGUUUGCUUUCAAAUUCUUUAUCUCCAUAUCGCCUCUACCUGGUUUCGAUAGAAGCCUUAUAUUCAUACAACUACUAUUUUGUAAAAUGUAUGUUUUAAGA